rnacentral:rRNA from 1 species
AUUGAACGCUGGCGGCAGGCCUAACACAUGCAAGUCGAGCGGAGCGGCGGACGGGUGAGUAAUGCCUAGGAAUCUGCCUGGGAGUGGGGGAUAACGUCCGGAAACGGGCGCUAAUACCGCAUACUAUCAGAUGAGCCUAGGUCGGAUUAGCUAGUUGGUGGGGUAAAGGCCUACCAGGGCGACGAUCCGUAACUGGUCUGAGUGGAUGAUCAGUCAACCUGGGACUGAGACACGGUCCAGACUCCUACGGUGGGCAGCGGUGGGGAAUUGUGGCCAAUGGGCGAAAGCCUGAUCCAGCCAGGCCACGUGUGUGAAGAAGGUCUUCGGAUUUUAAAGCACUUUAAGUUGGGAGGCGUUACCAACAGAAUAAGCACCGGCUAACUUCGUGCCAGCCGCCGCGGUAAUUC